GGGGGCGCCACGGUUUCGACGGGGGUGCAGAAGCGCUGGUCGCGUGACCGUCGGCUCAGGACGACGCAAAUACCCUGAGAACGUACAACUGCCAACGAUAACGCAGCUGCUCUCGCGGCCUAAACAGUCGUAGCUAGAGCCGUCCCAACGAAUGAAGUCUGCCAGUACUUCUCUGCGGGGCGUGAUUCAAACUGGCUAGCGCGGCCUUCGUGAUCCGGGGCCAGCGCGAACCUCAAGGAUCGCUCGCGAGGUAGAGAGCCCGUCCGUGGGCGCAACACCCCGCCAAAUCAAUACGCGGACUAGGUCACGUAGAAGCCAUCGUGGAACAUUUCCGGACGCGGGUUCGAUUCCCGCCGCCUCCACCA
rnacentral:tmRNA from 1 species